UUACGGGAGGCAGCAGUAAGGAAUAUUGGUCAAUGGACGCAAGUCUGAACCAGCCAUGCCGCGUGAAGGAUUAAGGUCCUCUGGAUUGUAAACUUCUUUUAUCUGGGACGAAAAAAGGCGAUUCUUCGUCACUUGACGGUACCAGAUGAAUAAGCACCGGCUAACUCCGUGCCAGCAGCCGCGGUAAUACGGAGGGUGCAAGCGUUAUCCGGAUUCACUGGGUUUAAAGGGUGCGUAGGCGGGCAGUUAAGUCAGUGGUGAAAUCCUGGAGCUCAACUCCAGAACUGCCAUUGAUACUAUCUGUCUUGAAUAUUGUGGAGGUAAGCGGAAUAUGUCAUGUAGCGGUGAAAUGCUUAGAUAUGACAUAGAACACCUAUUGCGAAGGCAGCUUACUACGCAUAUAUUGACGCUGAGGCACGAAAGCGUGGGGAUCAAACAGGAUUAGAUACCCUGGU
rnacentral:rRNA from 1 species